rnacentral:ncRNA from 1 species
CAAAGGCCUGGUCUCGGCCUUUCUAUCGUCUCUGACUAAACUUACACAUGCAAGACUCUUCGCCCCGGUGAAAUUACCCUUGUUUAUCUUUUAGGUAGAAGGAGUGGGUAUCAGGCUUCACGCCCAAGACACUCAGUUUAACCACACCCCCACGGGUACUCAGCAGUGAUCAAUAUUAAAUAUUUGCGCAAGCAAGAUUUAGUUAUAGUUGUAAUGGUCGGUUAAUUUCGUGCCAGCCGCCGCGGUUACACGGAAGACCAAAGUCGAUAGAUUUCGGCGUAAAGCGUGAUUAGGGGCCCACAUACUAAAGUUAAACCAUAAUCUAGCAGUUAUAUGUCAACAUUACUAGGGAAUCCCAAUAACGAAAGUAACUUUAUUUAAACCUGAACUCACGACAAUCAGGGCACAAACUGGAAUUAGAUACUCCACUAUGCCUGGUCUUAAACUUUGACUAAUUACACCACCAAUCCGCCAGGGUACUACGAGCAUAAGCUUAAAACCCAAGAGACUUGGCGGUGCUCUAUAUACACCUAGAGGAGCCUGUUCUAUAAUCGAUGAUCCCCGAUACACCUCACCACUUAUUGCCAAAUCCGCCUAUAUACCGCCGUCGCCAACCCACCUUAUGAAGGAUGAAAAGUGAGUCUGAGGGCUUAUUGCCAACACGUCAGGUCAAGGUGUAGCUAAUGAAGUGGGAAGAAAUGGGCUACAUUUUCUAAUCUAGAAUACACGGAAGAUCAUUUAUGAAACCUGGUCAGAAGGAGGAUUUAGCAGUAAAAAGAAACCAGCAAGUUCCUUUAAAGUUGUCCUAGAGCGCGUACAUACCGCCCGUCACCCUCUUCGAUCUAAAAUACUUAAUUUUAAAUAAAAAACAAACAGAAUCAAGAAGAGGCAAGUCGUAACAUGGUAAGCGUACCGGAAGGUGCGCUUGGAACAA